rnacentral:tRNA from 1 species
GACACUUUGGCCGAGUGGUUAAGGCGAUGCCCUGCUAUCUUCGUGAUAUCUCUAGGCAUUGUGUUCGCACGCGCAGGUUCGAAUCCUGCAGGUGUCG